UUGGCAGUUAUGGCACUGGCUAGGUGUGC
rnacentral:sRNA from 1 species